rnacentral:rRNA from 1 species
UACGUAGGGUGCGAGCGUUGUCCGGAAUUAUUGGGCGUAAAGAGCUCGUAGGCGGUGUGUCGCGUCGGCCGUGAAAACCUGGGGCUUAACUCUGGGCGUGCGGUCGAUACGGGCAUCACUAGAGUUCGGCAGGGGAGACUGGAAUUCCUGGUGUAGCGGUGAAAUGCGCAGAUAUCAGGAGGAACACCGGUGGCGAAGGCGGGUCUCUGGGCCGAUACUGACGCUGAGGAGCGAAAGCUAGGGGAGCGAACAGG